rnacentral:tRNA from 1 species
UGGGAAUUAGCUCAAGUGGUAGAGCGCUCGCUUAGCAUGUGAGCGAUAGCGGGAUCGAUUCCCACAUUCUCCA